AGUGAACGCUGGCGGUAGGCCUAACACAUGCAAGUCGAACGGCAGCACAGUAAGAGCUUGCUCUUACGGGUGGCGAGUGGCGGACGGGUGAGGAAUACAUCGGAAUCUACUUUUUCGUGGGGGAUAAUGUAGGGAAACUUACGCUAAUACCGCAUACGACCUACGGGUGAAAGCAGGGGAUCUUCGGACCUUGCGCGAUUGAAUGAGCCGAUGUCGGAUUAGCUAGUUGGCGGGGUAAAGGCCCACCAAGGCGACGAUCCGUAGCUGGUCUGAGAGGAUGAUCGGCCACACUGGAACUGAGACACGGUCCAGACUCCUACGGGAGGCGGCAGUGGGGAAUAUUGGACAAUGGGCGCAAGCCUGAUCCAGCCGUACCGCGUGGGUGAAGAAGGCCUUCGGGUUGUAAAGCCGUUUUGUUGGGAGAGAAAAGCAUCAGGUUAAUACCCCGCGGGUCUGACGGUACCCAAAGAAUAAGCACCGGCUAACUUCGUG
rnacentral:rRNA from 1 species